rnacentral:rRNA from 1 species
UACGGGGGGAGCAAGCGUUGUUCGGAUUUACUGGGCGUAAAGGGCGCGUAGGCGGCCCUCCUUGUCGCGUGUGAAAGCCCCGGGCUCAACCUGGGAACGGCGCGCGAGACGGGGGGGCUGGAGUUCGGGAGAGGAGCGUGGAAUUCCCAGUGUAGAGGUGAAAUUCGUAGAUAUUGGGAAGAACACCGGUGGCGAAGGCGGCGCUCUGGACCGAGACUGACGCUGAGGCGCGAAAGCGUGGGGAGCAAACAGG